rnacentral:tRNA from 1 species
GGAAUUGUAGCUCAGUGGCAGGGCACUUGUAUAGCACAUGUGAAGCACUGGGUUCAAUUCUCAGCAGCACCA